rnacentral:rRNA from 1 species
UACGAAGGGGGCUAGCGUUGUUCGGAAUUACUGGGCGUAAAGGGCGCGUAGGCGGUCUGAUUAGUCAGAUGUGAAAUUCCCGGGCUUAACCGGGGAACGGCGUCUGAUACUGGAUGGCUUGAAUCCGGGAGAGGGAUGCGGAAUUCCAGGUGUAGCGGUGAAAUGCGUAGAUAUCUGGAGGAACACCGGUGGCGAAGGCGGCAUCCUGGACCGGUAUUGACGCUGAGGAGCGAAAGCCAGGGGAGCAAACGGG